CUCUAGCUGUGGGAGGUGCUGUGACCUGUGCUGAGGGGGCUUUCUUGGCCCCACCUGCAGCUGCUGCGCGCGGCAGUGGAGAAGGGCUGGAGAGACCUGUGUUCCCAGUCUUUGCUGGAAGUUGUGGGUGAGCUUACUUCUUUAUCUGGAAAAAGAGAAAAAGUUUACUAGCAUCUCAGAAGGAAACAUUCAGCUUUGACUUACCAAGGCAUUUAAUGUCUUUAUAGGUGUAAAAAACCAAUAAAGUGCCGGCAGAUGGCGCCCAAGAAUAUCAAGUGCGGAGUCUAGAAUUAGUGGGCCUGGGCGUCAUUUGCUUUUGUCUAUUACCUGAAUACUGCCUUACAUGCAGCUCUUAGGAAACACCUUCUAGGCUGAGCUUCUUAAAGUAAUUUAUAAAACAGCAAGUACCACAUCGAACUGACAGUCACCCGUUGCCAUGUGUGAGAACUGAAACCUGGAGACUGCUUGUAGGAAGGAGUGGCUUUGCAGCACUAGUAGCAGGGGAAGAGAAGCACUGCAGGACUGCAGAAGGUCUAAUGAGGCUUGGUCCUGUUCUUCAGGAGUGUAAAGGGUUAUGGCCAAACUGGUGGACUGGCUCAGCACCUGUCUGGCUGCCUGAAGGAAGCUUUUAAAGAAAGUCUGCGACAGAUCAGAUCAUUUCUGAUCGAGGCAGGGAACACUGAUGUCUUCUACUGAUGGCCGAAGGCUCCCCUGCAUUUUUCAUCCGAAAGGCAGCAGCUCCCACCGCAUGGAUACCUUGAGAUAUGCUAAUCGGGACCCCUCCUGAGACUUUCCUCACGUCAAGCAGUAAGUCAGGGGAAAAGAUUCAUUUUGCUUAGUGGGACUGCUGCCACGCGUACGUAUCUUUGCACACAUCGCAUCACAGCAGAACGGGCUCUGCAGCGAUAAGAGAUUUGUCGUGCCUUCUUCUUAAGUUACGCAACACUGAAUUUGCGGUUUCCUUCCUCUGAAUACUUUCCAUGAACUAAUUUCUUUACGUAGCGACAUAUGGGAGAAUAAAUCAUUUGUGGGAUUAAAAAUCCAUAGUAACGUCGGAGAAGGGCAAAUACAGAAUUGCAGGCCCCUUUGCUCUAGCUGCGGUGGCUAUAUGGGUGGAAAUCACAUCCAAAUGUAUGCCAUGCCAGUUAAAUCAAGCGUCACCCUGAGGGCUUCGGCCAGUGCUCCAGCCCCGGGUCGGAAAACAAAGAACUAACACACAGAGGCCGGCGUGAAUGUUUUGCUUUGUGAACGAGCGGCUAAUGUUUCCCUGCACCAGUCGCACAGUUUAAAAUCACAUUUUCAAGCGACGGUUAAAUCCGUUCAGGCGGCUGAUUCA